rnacentral:rRNA from 1 species
AUUGAACGCUGGCGGCAUGCUUUACACAUGCAAGUCGAACGGCAGCGCGGGCUUCGGCCUGGCGGCGCGUGGCGAACGGGUGAGUAAUGCAUCGGAACGUGCCCAGUCUUUGGGGAUAGCCCGGCGAAAGCCGGAUUAAUACCGCAUACGACCUGAGGGUGAAAGCGGGGGACCGAAAGGCCUCGCGCUAUUGGAGCGGCCGAUGUCGGAUUAGCUAGUUGGUGGGGUAAAGGCUUACCAAGGCGACGAUCCGUAGCUGGUCUGAGAGGACGACCAGCCACACUGGAACUGAGACACGGCCCAGACUCCUACGGGAGGCAGCAGUGGGGAAUUUUGGACAAUGGGGGCAACCCUGAUCCAGCCAUGCCGCGUGAGGGAAGAAGGCCUUCGGGUUGUAAACCGCUUUUGUUCGGGAAGAAAACCUCUGGGCUAAUACCCCGGGGGGAUGACGGUACCGGAAGAAUAAGCACCGGCUAACUACGUG